GUGCCCCUUUUAAGGCUGACUCAUUGCUUUAAGAAGCUAACACAAAAGGAUAAAGUAAGUCUCCAUAAAACCCAGAGAGGAAAUUGUAAAAACUCCUCCUUGGAUCCUGUUUGGAGUCAAAGCU